GCCACUGAGAGCAGGGGCAUGCUGACUUCCCUGUGGAGGACUCACGAUCCCACAGAAUGCUGAACUUAAUGACUCCUGGGCUCCUAGCUGCGCCUCGCAUGAACGCUCACUCCAGGACACAUCGCAACAUAGGUCGAUGGGAGAAGCUUCAGACC